UACGAAGGGGGCUAGCGUUGUUCGGAAUUACUGGGCGUAAAGGGCGCGUAGGCGGUGUGUCAAGUCAGGCGUGAAAGCCCCGGGCUCAACCUGGGAACAGCGCUUGAGACUGGCACGCUCGAGUUCGGGAGAGGAUGGUGGAAUUCCCAGUGUAGAGGUGAAAUUCGUAGAUAUUGGGAAGAACACCGAUGGCGAAGGCAGCCAUCUGGACCGACACUGACGCUGAGGCGCGAAAAGCGUGGGGAGCAAACAGG
rnacentral:rRNA from 1 species